rnacentral:rRNA from 1 species
UACGAAGGGGGCUAGCGUUGCUCGGAAUCACUGGGCGUAAAGCGCACGUAGGCGGACUCUUAAGUCGGUGGUGAAAUCCUGGAGCUCAACUCCAGAACUGCCUUCGAUACUGAGAGUCUCGAGUCCGAGAGAGGUGAGUGGAACGUGCGAGUGUAGAGGUGAAAUUCGUAGAUAUUCGCAAGAACACCAGUGGCGAAGGCGGCUCACUGGCUCGGUACUGACGCUGAGGUGCGAAAGCGUGGGGAGCAAACAGG